rnacentral:misc_RNA from 1 species
GACGUCAUUCUAUGUUAUGCAAAUAAUUUACCAGUCUCUACCAUCCCGAAACUCUGCGGAGAGUACGAAAUCGGACAAGAAUUUCAUAGAAAAUAAUUCUAAAUAGUGAGGAAAAAUCGUAUGUAACAAGUCGUAUAACUGCAACAUACAUGUGACGGUCAUUUCGGAUGACAAUAUAAGGAAAUAAACUUAAUCAAAGUAUUGAAUUGCAUCUUUUAGUGCAACAACAGAAUAGUCGAGGCAGCAGUCAAGCAAGAUGGGUUGCGCAUCUUCAGCUCAGCCACAGGGCCCAAGGGAAUAUCCAAAACAACCUCCUAAAGAACCACCACCACCACAGCAAUAUGGUCAACCGCAGGUCCAACCACAGAGAGCCAACCCUCCUCCACCACCACCACAAACACAAGCACCACCCCCACAACAACAACCUCAAACUGUUGUCUUGCAACAAAGUAUGCAAAUGAAUACAACAACAGGGCCACCACCUUCUCAACCAGCACAACAGCAGCCUCCUCCUCCACAACAGACAGCAGCUCCUGAGCAUGCUGAAAUCACUGAAGCAUUGGUGAAUUCCCUUCUAGAGCUAGAAGGUGAUAUUGCCAUGUUGGAAAGUCGUAAUGUAUUCAAGCAGUAUCAGAUGAAGAAGGAACAGAACUUGAAGGUAGAGGCACAGGUUAAAUCAAUGACAGCGAUGCAUCAACAGCUUGAGGCUCAAACGAAAAAAGAAUAUCAAGAUGUGGUAGACCUACAACAUAACACAUCAGUGAGACAGAUGUGGUCUCAACAACAGUUUGAUGCACAGAUGAGCAAAGAACAGCAGUUCAACCAAGCACAAAAGGAAUACAUGGAUGCACUCAACAAGCAGGAGAUCAGUCAGAAACAGUUAGCAGCUCUCAGACAGCAGUUGACCUUGCUCUCCAAUGAAGUAACUUCAUUCAAAGCAGAUAAGGACAAACUACAAGGAUUAUACGACAAACAGGAUGAGACCCUUGCAUAUAUCUUUGAUGGUAAAUAUGGCAGUGAGGCUGAGUACAGGCUGGAGUCUGAACUUGAUAUGCUUCAAGAGCGUAAGCAGAGAGUAGCGGUGGCCCGUUAUAAGUGGAACAACUCACAUACCCUAGUCAAGCAUGCUUGUGGCCAACUUAGCUUUGGGAUCAGAAGAUGGGCUGAUGUUAUACAAUUACCAGUACAGCAAAGUGCGAUAAGAUACCAGUUUGCCGCUGAAGCUCGUAACAAUCUUGUUGCUGCUGCACAGAACAUCACGACAGCCCAGCAGUACUUGAACACCAUCAAGUUCCCAUACUGCACACCGGAUGAGAUCGAGACACUGAAUAAAGCUAUCAAUAACAUCUUCACUGAUAUGAUGCAUCCUGAUAGGCACAAGCAUGCCAUGGAAUGCUACGUCACCGUCUACAAACGAUCAGCAGCUCUUAUACAGUGGUUUGAGCAUGUGAUCAACAAGACAAUCAACAAAGAUUUGGAGAAGACGACAAGGAACUGUGCUGCCAAACAAAAAGAACUCAAGAUGGAGAGAAUGAAACUAGUCCAGGAGAAGGUCAAGGAGAAACUUGGAGCAGACGUUGCUUCUCGCUUGCAGACAAAGUCACAGGCUAAUGAUGCUGAGCUAGCAGAAGAAAAGGAUGAACCUGAGUUAGCAAUGUUGGUUGAUGCAGACUCUGUCUCACAAGCCGGUGAUGAUAGUCUUGCUCCAGAGGGAAGUGCUGAUGUGAAUGCACCCACUCCUCUUGGGCUUGAAGAGCUUGCUCCUACGCCUGCUAUGGAUGACAUCUUUGGUAACAUUGAGGAAUUGAAGAAGCAGCAUGAGGAGCAGGUAAAGGAAUAUGAACGUCAGCAAGAGGUGAACAAAACCAGAGCUGACCAGGAUCUACAGAGCAAGUUGGCUGCCCGUCGCUCUAGGCGACAACGCCAAGCAGCCCAGGAGGCAGAGAUGGCCGCCCUUCAAGGAGAUGCUCCGUAUUAGAGUACCUAGUGUCUAGUAAUGACCAAAGGCUGUCUGACCAGAGGUGCUGAUGACCAGUGGACAUACUGGUUGUUAUUGUCUGCCUUCUUCCAUUCAGGAUGCUGCCCAAGAGUACCAUUGACAGUCAUACAUACUUAUCUUUCCCCAUCACCUUGAUACUGCCUCCAGUCAGUCAUGUACUCCUGAAAAAAAAUGUGAACAGAGCCCUAACAGGAUGACCAACACUCUUCACUUGUUUUAGUUCAGAUAUUAUGGGCCUGAAUUUAAUAUUGGAAUGAUUUGUAAACUAAACUUUUUAGAUAUAUGAAUCACCUGAUAUGAAUGAAGCUUUAAUAUCAACUUGGUCCCGUUAUAAUUACUUUGAUUCUUAGUAGCUUUGAAAUAGUCAAUUUGGUUUGAAAAAGAUCUACUUAGAUUUUUUGUCAUCAAACUGCCAAAGAACUGAUAAUUGCUGUCCAUUCCAAUGAAUUGGUCUAUAUAGCAGACUCUUCUAUGAUUACAAUUUAAUCUCAUAUUUUAUAAAAAUAUCUUUACUUCCUGUAUAUAAUUUGUGCAAUUCUUUCAUUCUAUAUAAUCAAAUGGAAUAUUCGGUCCUGUCUCUGUUACUAGUAUACUGCAUUUUGACCAUAAAAUGCAUAUGUUUGUAUAUACCAGUAGUUGUAUUCAUUUGAUGUCAUAUAUUGUAUGGUCAGUAAUUAUACUGCAGAUUGUUGAGGCCAGUUAAUAAUUGUUUUAUGAAGUGCUAUAGCUAAUUUGAAAAAGAAACCUGUUAUGUUCGUAAACAAGGAAUACCAAGUGUAGCAAAAACAAAUAGGGAAAAUUUAAUAUUUGAUUUCUAGUGUCAAAGACUGUUAAUCAGUUCCAAUUGCUAAAGAAUAUUUCAGUUGGCAUUGUAAAAUCAGUUGAUGUAAUUAACUCAGUUGAAUUAUUACAACAUUCACACGUGUUACCUUGAUAAUCCAGCUUGCUCACUUUAUGUAAAUAUAUCUGAGAAAACAACAAACCUUGUCUACAAAAUUUUCUCUUUUUAUUCAAUGAUGUCAGUAUUACAAUUACUUGGAAAUGUAAGAGAAUUCCAUCCACGUAUAAAAUCAAGAAAAAUUUUGAUAUGUGUAUAUUAUGCUUUUAGGGAUAUUUUGUGCUAUAUCUCCUGUACAGUGUAUAUAUUAUGCAGUUGAAUAUAUAUAUAUCAGUCUAUUUUCAGUGAGAUAAGAAAAUGUAUAUUUUUUAUGACUAAUUUGUCUGUUUUGAAAGUAUAUUCUCUGUAUGCAUACUGUAUCAUUCCAUGUAAGAACUUUUGUGGGUGGUUUUCCACCUUUUCGAUUGUUAAAAAAGUUUGAAGGUGGUUGAUUUCUCAAGUGGCUCUCAAGUUUAAAUGAGAUAAAUGUACUUCACUUUAUAUGAUUUAUGUGACUUUUUACCUCGAUACCCCCAAGUAAUCGGAUCAUCUUUCCUUUAGUACUUGAACAUGUGUUUGCAUACUUGGACUAAGUUUAUAUAUAUUCCAUCAAAUAGUACUAUAGUUUUCACCAGAACGAAAAUGGGAUGGAUUAACAUAAAGUUUUCAUCCGGAAACCAUCUACAAUGAGCAGAGGGUUAUAAAAGUUUAUUGUAGCAAAUCAAAAUUGAGAUGGAAGCAUACAACAUGUAUCUAAAAUGGUGAACAGUUGAUAUAAGAUAAAAAUGAUAAUUCCAAGUUAUUGAAUGUACAGCUGUGACAUUGUAGCAUAUUUUAUGCCUUUUAUUGGAAAUUAGUAUUUGAUGUUAUUUAGAGUUCUGUAGGAAUUUGAGGAGAAUUUUGUAGAGUAAUCUGUACUCUUGUUUGAUGUAAAUUGCAAAUUUUGUGAGGUUUUUUUCAUUAAGUUUCAUUGGGUAUAUCUAAAGACUAUUCAUUUGAUCAUCAUUUGAUUUCUUUGUCAGCCGAUUUAUCAUAGAACACUUGUUGUGUGAAAGAUGUAAGAUCUAAUAUCAAAGGGUGAAAUUUUUUAUUUAAAUGUGUGAGUAGAGAAAAAUCAGGUUGUAAGAUUUCAUAUUCUUUUUGGUACAAAACCACUUCUCAGGUAUGUGAUGGGACAAAAUUCAGGACACAAUAUUCAUAGCUUUCUGAUAUAUGAUCACUAAAUUUACCAGAUAAUCUAUCUGAUGAACUGAAAUAUUCAUAUUUGAAGAAAAUAAGAUAUUCAUAUUUGAAGAUUGGAAUGAUGAAAUGUAAUCCAACAUUUCUCAAAGCUUUAAGACAGUCUUCAAUUUCCACUUCUUAGUUUAGUAGUAUGAUCCCCUAGCAAGAAUAUAAUAAGAACUUACAAGUUUGAAGAGUAAGAAAAAUUAAAAAUAAAAAGGCAUAUAGAUCUAUGCAGAAGUACUUUAAAUAAUUUGAUAUAUAGUGAAAUUUUUUAAGGGGAUUUCUGAGCUCUGUAACCCAAAGAUUAGCGAUCAAUUAAUAAAUGAACUGACCAAUCAAUACCAAUGUUACCCGCACUUUAGGUUUAAAAUACUGACCAGGGACCAAUCAGUGCAGUUCUUUCAUAUUUGCAAACCAUCGCAAACCUUUGUGUUAAGGAGCCCAGGCCAUGGUGGUUUUAUCGGGGGUUUGUACUACAUGUAGGACCAGCUUGUUGCAACACACCAGUUGAACAAGAUACAUGUACAUAUGUGUGUGACAAUCAUUGGGUGUUCCAUUACAAGAUAUUGGUUAAAUUUGAUAUCAUUACUGUAAUGUACUUCUUUAUAUCACUACUACUUCUAUACAAAUGAUUAACCAAAUGGUGCCAAUAUGUGUUUUGAUUUCUAUGAAAAGAAUACUUGUUUUUGCCUUCCUUUGAAAAAAUGCCUUUUUUGCUAUUAUUCCAACAUUUCCACUUAGUUUUUCAGAAUAGGGCAUUUCUAUAAGCAUUUCUUCUCAAAAUAUCUAUUUAUACUUGUCAAUGUGACAACCCCUUCCCUGCCACAAAAAAAGAUAAUAUAAAAAAUGAUGGAUAUUGAAUAAAGAUAUAAAUGCAUAUCAAAAUUGGAAUGUAGUUUCAAAUUAAGUGCGGUUACAAACCAUUAUUCAGUUUGCACUUGUUUGUGUGGCAUCCGACACAAGGGAUUUCUCAUAAUUCUUCUAAACUGAUUUUUAUGUACAAGUAUAUGACACACAGGAUGACUGGUAUCAAAUACCUCUAGUGCAUCUUCCAUUAUUGUUGGAAUUUGGAGCAUAAUUAGGAAUGUGCAGCAGAUGCACAAAGCUUUUACAAAAUACUCUUGUACAUAUACUUUAGCAAGUUGAAAGAAAAUUCAGAUAUAUUUGUAUAUUUUAAUGUCCUCAGCUGAUUUGUGUAUUUAAUCCAUUUAUUACUAACCUUGUGUCUUUCAUGUAUAGUGUAUACACUAAAUACAGCUAUGUAAUAUUAGACAGCUUCAAAAAUACCUUGAAAAUGAGACAACUGUAAAUGAAAAAUUAUAUUUUGUGUGUGAUUCUAACUUCAUAUUUUGUACAUUUACAUGGUAAUGUAUGUUUUUUGCAUGAAUAAAAUCUAUUGUAGUCCCUAUUGAAAAGGGAAUGUGUUGUCAUAUUUGCAUUAUUUGUGUUUUGUAUUUGCUUGUAGAUGGUUGAUUUCUCGAAAUCAUUACAUUUUGAAUUUGUAAUUUGAAGGGGAAAGUCAAACCAUAAGACCAUAAAUGAUACUUUAUUUUCAACAUUCAUUUUACAACAUAGAUCUUUAGAAACUUAGAAACAAAAGAAUAUCGCGCUCGGACGGCCAACGGAUCGGUUCAAUUUGGAGAGAAGUCGAUCAAGCGUUCUAGUCUUGAAAUGAGUAGGAGUUUGUGAGUGUAUAACCUUUGAGAUGUGAGUCUCAAUAUAAUACCAUUGCAUUUAUAGUAAGUUUCUCCCAAUCUUCGUGUUCAGAUUGGGGGGAUGCUUGGUCUCAGCAGACUUGUCAUGGGGAAGAGAUACGGGGGAUGCCUGCUUUCCAUGUUGAUAUCAUGGUCCUGUUCAACACACCCAGACAAGUAGUGAGUUAAUCGCAAAUA